rnacentral:rRNA from 1 species
GGGGAAUUUUCCGCAAUGGGCGAAAGCCUGACGGAGCAAUACCGCGUGAGGGAGGAAGGCUCUUGGGUCGUAAACCUCUUUUCUCAAGGAAGAAAUUUGACGGUACUUGAGGAAUAAGCAUCGGCUAACUCCGUGCCAGCAGCCGCGGUAAUACGGAGGAUGCAAGCGUUAUCCGGAAUGAUUGGGCGUAAAGGGUCCGCAGGUGGAACUGAAAGUCUGCUGUUAAAGAAUUUGGCUCAACCAGAUAAAAGCAGUGGAAACUACAGAACUAGAGUAUGGUAGGGGUAGAAGGAAUUCCUAGUGUAGCGGUGAAAUGCGUAGAUAUUGGGAAGAACACCAGCAGCGAAGGCGUCUUACUGGUCCUUAACUGACACUGAUGGACGAAAGCUAGGGGAGCGAAUGGGAUUAGAUACCCCAGUAGUCA